UACGAAGGGGGCUAGCGUUGCUCGGAAUUACUGGGCGUAAAGGGAGCGUAGGCGGAUAGCUAAGUCAGAGGUGAAAGCCCAGGGCUCAACCUUGGAAUUGCCUUUGAUACUGGCUGUCUUGAGUAUGGGAGAGGUGUGUGGAACUCCGAGUGUAGAGGUGAAAUUCGUAGAUAUUCGGAAGAACACCAGUGGCGAAGGCGGGUCUCUGGACAGUUCCUGACGCUGAGGCACGAAGGUCAGGGGAGCAAACGGG
rnacentral:rRNA from 1 species